GAUGAACGCUGACAGAAUGCUUAACACAUGCAAGUCUACUUGAUCCUUCGGGUGAUGGUGGCGGACGGGUGAGUAACGCGUAAAGAACUUGCUUUGCAGUCUGGGACAACGUCUGGAAACGGACGCUAAUACCGGAUAUUAUGGUUGAAUCGCAUGAUUUGAUUAUGAAAGCUAUAUGCGCUGCGAGAGAGCUUUGCGUCCCAUUAGUUAGUUGGUGAGAUAACAGCCCACCAAGGCGACGAUCAGUAGCCGACCUGAGAGGGUGAUCGGCCACAUUGGGACUGAGACACGGCCCAG
rnacentral:rRNA from 1 species